AUGGCGGGGCGGAGGGAGGGCAUGGAAGAGAAAGAGGGUUGUGUCCCCGACGGCGGGCCAGGGGGACAAGGGCGCGCGUCCCGCCCGUCCGUGCAUGUUCGUUUCGACGUAAACGCGGCCAAAUUUGGGCGAGGAAUGGAUCAAAAGUGGAUGAAAAACGGACUUGUCGAGGACGAGCAGCUCCAUGUUCUUGCUGCUGACGACGAACGGACUCAGCCCGAGACCUAG
rnacentral:rRNA from 1 species